AAAAAUAGAUGCUAUUGAACUCAACAAAGAGUGCAUCAGACGUACAGAAAAAUGUAUCAAUGAAUCAGCUGCAAUCACCAAUUUAUAUUAAAAUGAACAGGCGGGGGGAGCUUGAUAUUUUUGUAAACGAUGGAGGCUCCAUCAUGGAGAAUCGGGGAUGGUCUCUCAAGUGGUAUAUGGAGCUACACAAUGUCUUUAUAAAUUAAU